CAAGCGCGGAUGUUUGCCCACAACCAUAAGUGGCCAGAACAGGUUGCUUGCUGAAAAAGAUACCCUCACACUAAAGAUUUACAACACAAUGCCAGCAGCAUUUCAUUAGGAUUCUCAUGAGUCGAAAUGUACUUCAAGCGAUGAAAAGAGUAUACUUGCUAAACAGUUACGUAAGUUUCUAAUAACAUAAGCAGAAAAUGUAUGCUGGCAAAGUCACUACAACAAUCAUAAUUCACGCCAUUUCUUGUCUGACAAAAUAUUUUAUUAAUUUCUCAUCCUAGCAUAAAAAGUAUAACAGGUUAAAAAGAAAGCCAAUGAAUGACUUGAGGUUUUGAUAACAUGCAUGAAGAAGCAUGGAACAUUAUUUUUCAUGAGCUAAACACUGUUACUGUAAUCGUACUUUUCCAUUCGACUUUCGUAAAAUUUAAUAAAAUAUUAUCAGAGAGUUUUACGGCAAAAUAAUAGAACAGAAUAAAGAACUAGUAGAUAAGAAAACCAUUGUUUGUAUCUUUGUUAAUUACAGCCGAACCCGACUUUGAAAGAAUAAACAAAAACAUAAAAAAAGAAAAAAAAUUUCUGCCAAUACCAGACAAACAAAGAAGCACGUCGUUAGUAUUCAAGCAAAAAAAAAUAUUUUUAUUUAAGAGAAAAGACAUGUCAAUGAAGAAAAAGAAAUGUUUACGUUACUACAAAGUCUUUGCAGAUUCAGGAAGCAAAAGGGGUAAUGUUGACAAAGUCGAUGCAGAGGAAGGACUCACGGCUAAAAAAGGUUUCAUUGAGUGGACAAUUGCAUUUUUCAAAGCAUCCUCGUCUUCCACUGGGCAAUAAUUUAUUACAAUAUAGUUUGAGUAGAACUAUCAUAAACAUAAGGCUUGAUAACAUCAGUGUCAUACAUCACUUCCUUGGGAUCCAGAGGAAAUAAGUAGGUUUUUGAAGAAGGUGAUAAUACUAUAGACGAAUUGACGACUCCAGAAGCCUUAAUUAAUUACAGAGUUAUGUUAUGUAUAGAAGAAGCUAAUUGCAUUUGAAUAAAGAAAUUUCGUUACCAUACAAAACUCAUUACAAGGUUCUGCAUUUCCAGAGAGUCCAACGCGUAGUGAUGAUUCACUAAGUUCUAGGAUACGUGCAUUACAAGUUAGUUGAUUCGUGCCAUCUACAUAAGUCACUCAAUGAAAAUCCAAACGACCGUAACGAAAACAUAAACAGGUUUACCAUAAGCAUCGGAUAUCAUUAGUUCAAACAAUUGGCUUGAAUGUUUUUAUUUAACGUAUAACGUUUUGAAAAAAAAAAAAAAAAUUCACCUUUUAAAUGACUGGACUACCUGACGAAUAGUUCUGUGUUCUCUUUUAUUACUGCGUUUUAAUCAAGAAACCCAAAAAAAAAAUUAAAUUCCUAAAAUUAUCACACUUGUUCAUACAAGGCAGUGAACAAAUGUUUUCUUUCUCAACGAAAAAAAAAAUCUUUAACAAGUUCUUUUUAGUUUUAUUGUCUUCUCUACAAAUAUUCUUCAAGUAAAAAAAUUUAAGCUGCUUAAUUUUCCACAUGAUAAAAAAUGCUUGAUAAAUUCUUUUCGGCGUCUAGAAAAGUUAUUGUGUAUCCAAAUUAAUUCUUUUACUUCCAAAUUUAGCAUAAAGCGAAGCCUUAAGCUGUUUCAUUUGUUCUUCUACAUGAGCUUUUUUAGUUUCAUGUUCCCGUAUUUCUUGCUCUUUCUCUUGUAUUAAUCGUUGAAUCGAUUUUUGAAUUGUACUCUCCUUUUCCUUGUAAAACGUUUCUCCAAUUUUCAAACUACAAUAUUUAAUAAAAAAAAUAGAUUUAUACAAACAAGAAGCUCUUCGUCAGCAUCCUUCAAUUGUUGUACUUCUUCCUUAAGAUAAUUAUUAAUAUAAAAAGAAAGUCAAGUACAUGGCAUACUUUGCAAUGAACGAUUCGAUCAGAAAUUUCUCUUGCCUCUAUAACUAAACAGGAAAAUUCAUUAAUUUUUUCUUGAUCUUCCCAUACAACUGGUACAUCGUCGUUUUGUGUCACUUCCGAUUUUAUCAUUACCACUUUGUUACAGUUGAAGCAAAAAACUUGUGUUAAUGACAGCACCCUGGCUUAUUAUGAAAACUGGUACAACAGAAAUAUUGUAUUUGAAAUCCAAUGUAGCCUUUAGGCAAUAAAACUCCCACAUUUAUUAAAAAAAAAUCAUUAGAUGAAAUGUUAUUGAUUUUUUCAUUUUUAACAGUUACAUGAAUUAAAAAGAUCAUUUCUGACAUUAUGUUUUGAGCUAAAAGAAAUUGAUCACUUGAACAAGAA